AAUAAAGCUAACUUGUUGCCUCAUAAAGUAUACUAAAAUUAACUCAAAAUGGAUCUAAGACCCAAAAUAUAAAAGUUAUAGUAACUGUAAAAUUCUUAGAAGAAAAAGGAGUAACACCUUGUGCAUUUAAUUUAGUGGUUUCUUACAUGCAACAACCAAAAUGCAAACAAACAAACAAGCACAGAUACAAUGGAUAUAAUCAGAGUUAACUUGUGUGUUUCAAAGGACAUCAAGAAAGUGAAAAAGCAAUAGCGGGCAUGACUAUACAUUCCUAUAAUCCUAGCAGAUAAAAGGCUGAGGCAGGAGGGCAUUCAAGGACAGUUUGGCCUAUGUAGUGAGUUCAAGGGCAGCCUGAACUACAUAAGAAGACCCUGUCUCAAGAAGCGUCCGAAAGAAAAAGUGUAAAAAGAAUAAAGAACAUUUGUUGGAAAGAGAGAUCAUUUAUCACUGUAGUCUUGCCAGCUUUGAACUCCAAGGAAAUCUACUAAAUGAAGAGUCAAUACUUAAUCCAGAGUUACAUGUAAGUAUUUGCCCAAAAGUAAAGAAGCCAGGGGGAGGGGAGACACUUUAAAGAGAAGACAUAUAGGAAG
rnacentral:lncRNA from 1 species